rnacentral:rRNA from 1 species
UACGUAGGGGGCUAGCGUUGUCCGGAAUCAUUGGGCGUAAAGAGCGUGUAGGCGGCCCGGUAAGUCCGCUGUGAAAGUCCAGGGCUCAACCCUGGGAUGCCGGUGGAUACUGUCGGGCUCGAGUCCGGAAGAGGCGAGUGGAAUUCCAGGUGUAGCGGUGAAAUGCGUAGAUAUCUGGAGGAACACCGGUGGCGAAGGCGGCAUCCUGGACCAAUACUGACACUGAGGAGCGAAAGCCAGGGGAGCAAACGGG